UACAGGGGGGGCAAGCGUUGUUCGGAAUUACUGGGCGUAAAGGGCCAGUAGGCGGCCAACUAAGUCCGACGUGAAAUCCCCAAGCUUAACUUGGGAACUGCGUCGGAUACUGGAUGGCUUGAAUUCGGGAGAGGGAUGCAGAAUUCCAGGUGUAGCGGUGAAAUGCGUAGAUAUCAGGAGGAACACCGGUGGCGAAGGCGGGUCUCUGGGCCGAUACUGACGCUGGAGGAGCGAAAGCGUGGGGAGCGAACAGG
rnacentral:rRNA from 1 species